GGUGGUGGUAACACUUUAAUUAUUGAGAAAGCUGAGUUCAUGUCUCUUUCCUUCAGUUUGCAACAGUCACGUGAUUCCCAUCCCUUCUUGUUGCUUCUCAUUUUCAAGCUUCUACCAAUAUUGGCAGAUAGCGGAUUGGCACCACAAGCCACAGUUUCAGAAUCAGGUGCAAUGGAUUAUUGUUAUUCAAGGCAAAAACAUUAUUUCUUGGCAUGAAUUGAUCUGUGUUUGGAUGUGAUGAAUUUGUUUUUUAUUCUUUGUCCGUUGUUGUUGUUCUUCCCCUUUUUGGGAGUAUCUGCUGCUGCAAAUGUCUCGUCCUCAAGACCUUCUGUCGCGAACAUUGGGGCGAUCUUCACCUUCAAUUCCACAAUUGGGAGAGUGGCUAAAAUUGCCAUGGAGCAAGCAGUGAAGGAUGUCAAUGCCAACACCAGCAUCCUUCAUGGAACAAAGCUUGUCCUCCAAAUGCAAGAUUCCAAUUGUAGUGGUUUCAUGGGCAUGGUUCAAUCUUUGCGGUUCAUGGAGACUGAUGUAGCUGCUAUAAUAGGUCCCCAAUCUUCUGUUGUAGCUCACAUCAUAUCCCAUGUUGCGAAUGAGCUUCGAGUUCCUCUGGUGUCGUUUGCCGCCACAGAUCCUACUCUUACCUCCCUGCAGUUCCCAUUCUUUGUGAGGACAACACAGAGUGAUUUGUAUCAAAUGACUGCAGUUGCGGAGAUCAUAGACUAUUAUGGUUGGAAGGAGGUGAUUGCCAUCUAUUUAGAUGAUGAUUAUGGACGAAAUGGUGUUUCUGUGUUGGAUGAUCAGCUGGCUGCUCGGCGCUGCAAAAUAUCCUACAAGGCUGCAAUCAAAUCUGGAUCAGUUGACCGGGGAGAGAUCACGAAUUUGCUUGUGCAAGUGGCUCUGAUGCAAUCUCGGAUCAUUGUUCUUCAUACAAAUCCUGAUUCUGGAUUUAUGGUCUUCAAUGUGGCGCAUUAUCUUGGGAUGACAACCAAUGGCUUUGUCUGGAUAGCCACGGAUUGGCUGUCAUCUGUCUUGGAUUCUACUUCUCUACCUUCAGAAACAAUGGAUAUUCUUCAAGGAGUACUUGUUUUGCGCCAACAUACACCCGAUUCUGAUAGAAAGAAAUCAUUUAUCUCUACAUGGAACAAGUUAACUGGCGGCUCUUUGGGGCUACAUUCCUAUGGUCUCUAUGCUUAUGAUUCUGUCUUUCUGUUAGCGCACGCUCUCGAUGCAUUCUUUAGUCAGGGUGGGAUUGUUUCGUGUACCAACUACACUAGUUUGCGCGAUGAUAAGCCUGGUGGUCUUAACCUUGAUGCUAUGAGCAUUUUUGACAAUGGAACACUUCUGCUGAAGAACAUAGAGCAGAGUGAUUUUCUUGGAUUAACAGGUCAUGUGAAAUUUGCAUCAGACAGAUGCCUUGUUCGUCCUGCAUAUGAUGUUAUCAAUGUGGUUGGAACUGGCAUUCAUCGGGUAGGUUACUGGUCGAACUAUUCUGGUCUCUCAAUUGUGCCUCCAGAGACAUUGUAUGCUAAGCCGGCUAAUAAAUCAAGUGCAAACCAGCACCUUCAUAGUGUCAUAUGGCCUGGAGAUACAUUAUCAAAACCCCGUGGAUGGGUUUUCCCAAAUAAUGGAAGGCAAUUGAGAAUUGGUGUGCCUGUUCGAGUUGGUUUCCGCGAAUUUGUUUCGCCGGUGCAGGGAACUGAUAUGUUUAAAGGUUUCUCUAUUGAUGUAUUCACUGCAGCUGUGAACUUGUUACCAUAUGCUGUUCCAUACCACUUUGUCCCAUUUGGAAGUGGCCGCGAGAAUCCAAGCUACACACAACUUGUCAAUUUAAUUGCCACAGGUUACUUUGAUGGUGCUGUUGGUGACAUUGCCAUCAUCACGAAUCGGACAAAGAUUGUAGAUUUCACACAGCCAUAUGCUGCAUCUGGACUAGUUGUGGUGGCCCCUUUUAAGAAAAUCAAUUCUGGAGGAUGGUCUUUCCUUCGGCCAUUCACACCACUUAUGUGGACUGUGACUGCUUGUUUCUUCUUUUUCGUUGGAAUAGUUGUAUGGAUUCUGGAACACAGGAUCAAUGAUGAGUUCAGAGGCCCACCAAAACAACAAUUCAUAACAAUUUUAUGGUUUAGCCUUUCAACUCUCUUCUUUUCCCAUAGAGAGAAUACCAUGAGCACUCUCGGCAGAUUGGUGGUUCUGAUCUGGCUGUUUGUAGUGUUGAUCAUAAACUCCAGCUACACUGCAAGUUUAACAUCCAUACUCACUGUGCAGCAGCUAUCUUCCCCUAUCAGUGGAAUAGAUAGCUUAAAGAAUAGUAAUGAACACAUAGGAUUCCAAGUGGGUUCAUUCGCGGAGCACUAUUUGGUUGAGGACAUCGGGAUAUCCGAAAAUAGACUCGUUCGCCUAGGAUCUCCAGAAGCAUAUGCUAAGGCACUCCAACUUGGUUCUAAGAAUGGAGGUGUUGGUGCCAUUGUUGAUGAAAGACCAUAUAUUGAAAUCUUCUUAUCAACACAAUGCACAUUCAAAAUUGUAGGCCAGGAGUUCACCCGAAGUGGCUGGGGUUUUGCAUUCCCUCGCGACUCCCCAUUAGCCGUGGAUUUGUCAACUGCUAUUCUACAACUUUCGGAGACAGGGGAUCUGCAGCGGAUUCAUGAUAAGUGGAUGACAAGAAGCAGCUGUAGUUUAGAUAAUGCCGAGAUUGAUUCGGAUAGGCUUCAGUUGAAAAGCUUCUGGGGACUGUUCCUCCUUUGUGGCUUGGCUUGCUUCAUAGCUCUUGUCAUACAUUUUGUGCAAAUUAUGGUGCGGAUGUGGCAUGCACCUCCUCCUGAAGCUGCAUCUAAUGGUAGCUCCAUUUCUGGUCGUUUUCAAAGGUUUCUGUCACUGAUUGAUGAGAAGGAAGAGUCACCAAGGAGUGAGAGAAGAAAGAGGAAUGGAGAUGAAGGAUCUGCUGCUGAUCAUCAACUUGAUGGGAGGCACACAAAGAGGAUACAGUUUGAUUUAACACCCAACUCAAACAGAUAAUUGGUUGAAACAAAUCAGGUGUCAUGGAUGGUGGAAUGGAAAAUGAGUGUGUUAGUCUUUGUUUUGCUUUUUUGUGAAACACAUCACAAAAGAACAUUUUGACGCACAAUACAUUCCGCUGUACAGAUUAGAUUUAAUUUGCACAUUAUUAUUAUUAUUGAACAACUUUCUCCUAAUAGAAUCAAAGAACACUAAAUGGAUAAAAAUACAAAGAACGAGGGGAAAAGAAAAGAACAACUCAGUUAAAGAGAGCGAAACGACACCAUUUUUCUAGAAGAAGACAUGGACAAAGACGAUGAGGAGUCCCAAGAGGACGAAGAAAGGAAGACAUCGAUGAGGAUGAUGUUUUGCCAGACGGCGAAGAAAACGAGUCUUUUCCGUGUACCUCAUCCACUGCCCUUACCGUUACCAUCCCUGUUCCCUCCUUCGUCAUCUCCAACGGCAAAAAGGCUCCAAUUUCAACUGCCACCGCCAACGCGGCCACAACCGUAGUUGUUGCUGUCGAAGGCAGCUCUUCCGAUCUAAAACGAUAGCAGCAAAUUGAGGAGAAGAAAUCUCUCGAUGAUUCAUAACUUGAGUUUCAGUUUUUGAAAUUGGUUGAAAUUUGUUUUAAAUUAAAGAUGAUUUAAAGAGCUUUAAAUUUAUAUAAAGUUUGAGAAAA